GAUGAACGCUGGCGGCGUGCCUAAUACAUGCAAGUCGAGCGAACGGACGAGAAGCUUGCUUCUCUGAUGUUAGCGGCAGACGGGUGAGUAACGCGUGGAUAACCUACCUAUAAGACUGGGAUAACUUCGGGAAACCGGAGCUAAUACCGGAUGAUAUUUUGAACCGCAUGGUUCAAAAGUGAAAGACGGUCUUGCUGUCACUUAUAGAUGGAUCCGCGCUGCAUUAGCUAGUUGGUAAGGUAACGGCUUACCAAGGCAACGAUGCAUAGCCGACCUGAGAGGGUGAUCGGCCACACUGGAACUGAGACACGGUCCAGACUCCUACGGGAGGCAGCAGUAGGGAAUCUUCCGCAAUGGGCGAAAGCCUGACGGAGCAACGCCGCGUGAGUGAUGAAGGUCUUCGGAUCGUAAAACUCUGUUAUUAGGGAAGAACAUAUGUGUAAGUAACUGUGCACAUCUUGACGGUACCUAAUCAGAAAGCCACGGCUAACUACGUG
rnacentral:rRNA from 1 species